AUUAGAGUUUGAUCCUGGCUCAGGAUGAACGCUAGCGAUAGGCCUAACACAUGCAAGUCGAGGGGCAGCACAUGAGUAGCAAUACGAUGGUGGCGACCGGCGCACGGGUGAGUAACACGUAUGCAACCUACCUUUAACAGGGGAAUAACCCGUUGAAAAACGGACUAAUACUCCAUAACACAGGGGUCCCGCAUGGGAAUAUUUGUUAAAGAUUUAUCGGUUGAAGAUGGGCAUGCGUUCCAUUAGCUUGUUGGUGAGGUAACGGCUCACCGAGGCUACGAUGGAUAGGGGAACUGAGAGGUUUAUCCCCCACACUGGAACUGAGACACGGUCCAGACUCCUACGGGAGGCAGCAGUAGGGAAUAUUGCUCAAUGGGCGAAAGCCUGAAGCAGCAACGCCGCGUGGAGGAUGAAGGUCUUCGGAUUGUAAACUCCUUUUCUAAGAGAAGAUUAUGACGGUAUCUUAGGAAUAAGCACCGGCUAACUCCGUGCCAGCAGCCGCGGUAAUAAU
rnacentral:rRNA from 1 species